rnacentral:rRNA from 1 species
ACACAUGCAGUCGAACGAUGAACCUCACUUGUGGGGGGAUUAGUGGCGAACGGGUGAGUAACACGUGAGUAACCUGCCCUUGACUCUGGGAUAAGCCUGGGAAACCGGGUCUAAUACUGGAUACGACCUUCUGGCGCAUGCCAUGUUGGUGGAAAGCUUUUGUGGUUUUGGAUGGACUCGCGGCCUAUCAGCUUGUUGGUGGGGUAAUGGCCUACCAAGGCGACGACGGGUAGCCGGCCUGAGAGGGUGACCGGCCACACUGGGACUGAGACACGGCCCAGACUCCUACGGGAGGCAGCAGUGGGGAAUAUUGCACAAUGGGCGCAAGCCUGAUGCAGCGACGCCGCGUGAGGGAUGAAGGCCUUCGGGUUGUAAACCUCUUUCAGUAGGGAAGAAGCCGGCCUUU